AUUUAUCUUUUAUCUGCGCGCGAAUAAUGAAAGUAUGUAAACUGUUUUUGUCUUUAAUUUCGUGAUAUCUCUCGAAAAUAGGAGAAUGGAAGUGGAAGACUCUUCUGGCGAUCAAUGCAAAGAAUUGAAAGAUGCAUUGUUGGCGUUCUCCCUGGAGCAUUACAAAGAUGACUUGGUUGAUAUACUACUUCAUGAGGAUCAGAACGACCAUUUUUCCAUCUCAGUAAAUGCCUUGACCCUCUUUGAGAACAACAUGAUGGUUUGUGACGUAUUGUUGUCCUCCCCGGAGAAGACCUUGAACUUCUUUGACCUUGCCCUUAUGGAGGCUCAGAGCGUCAUCAUGGAAACACACCAACAGAAAGAAGACAUGGGUGUGAAGAAGAACAUCCAUGCUCGAGUUAUGUCCCUUCCAGUUUGUCCAGAACUACACAGAACUUCUGUACCCAGGGCAGGAGACGUUGGAAGUUUUCUGGCCAUUACAGGAACUGUAAUAAGAACUACAGUUAUGAAAAUGUUGGAGCAUGAGAGAGAUUUCCUUUGCACCAAGUGUAGAAAUGUGUGCUCGGUCCAGGCAGACUUAGAGCAGUUUUUCAAUCUUGCCAAACCUAGCAAGUGUUCCAAUGAGACCUGUAACUCUACAAACUUUACCCCACUGUGUGAUACAGGUGGUCAGCCCCAGAAGUGUAGGAAUUACCAGGAGAUAAAAAUUCAGGAACAAGUGCAGCGUCUGGCAGUGGGGACCAUUCCAAGGUCAAUGUGGGUGGUAGUUCUGGACGACAUCGUGGAUAAAUGUAAAGCGGGUGAUGAUGUCAUCAUCUGUGGAACAGUGAGAAGAAGAUGGCGUCCAUCAGCUGUUGACUCUCGUUGUGACAUAGAGAUGGUUCUGGAGGCAAACCACAUCCUGGUCACUAACGAACAGCGAAACUCUGUCCUGGUCACACAGGAGCUGAAGUCAGAGAUCAUGAAAUUUUGGGAAGAUAAUAGAAAUGAUCCCCUGAGUGCCAGGAAUCGGAUACUGGCCAGUCUAUGUCCCCAGGUGUAUGGUCUGUAUGUGGUCAAACUGGCUGUGGCUCUGGUGCUAGCCGGAGGGGUACAGCGUGUGGACGAGUCAGGCACUCGAGUUCGGGGAGAAAUCCACAUGCUGAUGGUAGGAGAUCCAGGAACAGGGAAAUCUCAGUUUUUAAAGUAUGCUGCCAAGAUAACGCCAAGAUCAGUGCUGACGACUGGGAUAGGCAGUACCAGUGCUGGACUGACAGUGACAGCUGUCAAGGACGGUGGCGAGUGGCAGCUAGAGGCUGGAGCUCUUGUGUUGGCGGAUGGAGGGUUGUGUUGUAUUGAUGAAUUCAGCAGUAUCAGAGAACACGACAAGGCCAGUAUCCAUGAAGCAAUGGAACAACAGACAAUCAGUGUGGCCAAGGCUGGUAUGGUGUGUAAGCUGGAUACCCGCACCACUAUUUUAGCAGCAACUAAUCCUAAAGGACAAUAUGACCCUAACCAGAGUCUAAGUGUGAACAUCGCCCUGGCCAGCCCUCUCCUCAGUAGAUUUGACCUCGUCCUUGUAAUGUUGGACUCCCAGAAUGAAGAAUGGGACAGAGUGGUCUCCAGCUUCAUCCUAGAAAACAAAGACCCCUUAGGUGAUGUUGAUCCAAAGGCAGUCUGGAGUAUGGAGAAAAUGCAGGCUUAUCUCUCUUUGAUAAAAACCAUCAACCCUGAACUGACUGCAGAUGCCAUUAGAGUACUCGGUCAGUAUUACAAGGCACAGAGGUCAGCUGACGACCGCAAUGCCGCCAGAACCACGAUGCGUCUUCUACAGAGCAUGAUUCGACUUUCACAAGCCCAUGCUCGGCUGAUGUUCCGAGACCUGGUGACUGUGGAGGAUGCUGUUAGUUGCUGUCACUCUGAUGGAGUCCACCAUGCAGGGAGCUGCUCUACUUGGUGGUGUAAAUGCUCUACAUACUGCUUUUCCUGAGGAUGCCAUUGAGGAAUACAAAGUGCAAGCUGACCUGGUUUUAAACAGAUUAGAUUUACCAGAUCUUCUGCAACAAGAAAUUGAAAGAAUAACAGUUCUUGAGGAAGCUAAAACAGAAGAGGCUUCUAACACACAAGCACAAGAAACAAAUACAUGUAUACAGCAAAUAAAGCAACAAACUGAACAAUAUCUGAAACAACAGCAAGGCAAUCAGUUGUUGAUGUCCCAAGACAAAAAUAAAGAAGAUGAAGGGAAGAAAAGCCAGCAAAUCAGUAAUAAACUGUUUAGAACUGAGGACAAAGUGUGUGAUACGUCCCUCCAGGAUCUGUUCAAUUUAAGCACUGUAGAGGAUUAUGGGUCCCCAAAGUCAGACGAUCGGCCAAUGACCUCGACCCAAAUUCCAUCUGCUGAACCAAGGAGGUCAUUUGAUGUAUCUGAGGUUACCUGUUCUGUGACCAGUGUUAAUCUGAAGAUCCCGUCUCCCGUUUCCACAGGACAGAUUAUGGAGGUACAAUAUAAAGAAAAUGGUGGACAUGAUCAGGAUGAAAAUGUUGAAAAAUCUGAAACACAAGCUGGAAAACUGGUUUAUACGAAAGACAGAGAUCACAAAAUGUUGAUUAGAAAACAAAAGAACAAAAAUUUAGUUACAAAUUUGAAGCAGAUGAUGGAGGCACAAAAAGAUACAUGUAGUGAAUCAAAAGAAACAUCUGUUCAACAUGGUGUCCAUGAUGAGGAAAAAGCAUCGCAGCAAAGAAAUAAAAAAACAAGAAGUCCCAAAAAAAACAGUGCAGGGGAUAGUUCCUUACAAGAAUCAUGUGUUGUUGGGAAUUCUUAUGAAGAAUCAGAUAAUAAAAAGGGAAUUUCUCCAUCUACACUAACCAAACUAAAGAAAUUUCAAAGGAUAGAGGCAACUACAGAUUCCACAGAUACUAGUGAUAAUAGUGAUAAAAGCUUCAAUAAACCGCAGAGUAAAGAAAACCAAGGUCCAUUGAGUGGAUACAGUGAAACUAUGACAACCAAAGGAGAGGCACUAUCUCAGAGUUUUGAUGAAAAACAACAGCCAUAUUCCAAAAAUAUUUUUAGAGUGGAUAAGAAAACAGUGACAAACAUGAAUGAUUCUCUAGACGAUUUACUGAAUUCUCCAGAAUCUACAAAACUAUCGGUUCCAGAGAAAUUAAACAGCAGUGCUGUAAAAUCUCUGACUUCAGGUCCAUCAUGGUUAACUAAAGUUCAGUCUCUAAAGUCUCCAUUAUUUAAGUUGGACAAUGGGGACAAUGAUGAUUUAGAUGAUUUAGACAUUGACUUUGAUUUUAAUCCCUCAAAAAGAGUCAAAAUUGGAUAAUAAAAUAAAUACAAAAUACAAAAACUGUC
rnacentral:misc_RNA from 1 species